UGAAUGAGGAAUGGGUCAAAACACUGCUGACACGCUCAGGGUCAGAGCCACUGUCUGCAGAAGGACCUUCAUCCUGUGGUUCCAAGACUUUCUUGCAGUGAGAAGCGUGUAUCCUGUUGGGUUUUCCUUCAACCUUUACAGCGGUGUGGGUGGUUAACAGUACUUGAAAAGGACCAUCAAAUCUUGGAACUAGUCCUUUUCUCACAUGCACUUUUAUCACCACCCAGUCUCUGGGCUGCAAGUUGUGAGUUCCUUCUACUGAGUCAGGAUCUGCAAGUGAAGCAAACACCUAUUUAUGCGUGUAUUCUAGCCUUUUUGUUAGAGCCCGUAUGUAACUGGUCAGACUGUCAUU